GAUUAUGUCAUUUAAUCCAAAGUGAAUGUGAUUAUAGAAGGAGCCAUAAUAGGAUAAAUCACUCCAAGAUAUGACACCUUACUGAAGAUUGAAAAGUAUUGAAGGAGAAAAUCCUGGUAUAUACAUAAAACAAUUAAAAAACGAAAGAAUAAGCACAGGGCUCCUUUGUCUGCUGAAUAUCCCACUCUGGCUCCAGAUUUCUAACCUACAGCCAUAUCUCUCAGGAAGAUAAGCCUGGACAUAAAGAAGAGAAAGGAAAAAAAUCACACAAGACCCUGAAAAGGAAGCAAAGACAGUAAUACAGAGGGUGGUAGGGGUAUCUGGGUGGCUCGGUUGAUUAAGCAUCUGACUUUGGCUCAGGUCAUGGUCUCAGG